rnacentral:rRNA from 1 species
GAGACUGGGAUAACACCUGGAAACAGAUGCUAAUACCGGAUAACAACACUAGACGCAUGUCUAGAGUUUAAAAGAUGGUUCUGCUAUCACUCUUGGAUGGACCUGCGGUGCAUUAGCUAGUUGGUAAGGUAACGGCUUACCAAGGCAACGAUGCAUAGCCGAGUUGAGAGACUGAUCGGCCACAUUGGGACUGAGACACGGCCCAAACUCCUACGGGAGGCAGCAGUAGGGAAUCUUCCACAAUGGACGCAAGUCUGAUGGAGCAACGCCGCGUGAGUGAAGAAGGGUUUCGGCUCGUAAAGCUCUGUUGGUAGUGAAGAAAGAUAGAGGUAGUAACUGGCCUUUAUUUGACGGUAAUUACCUAGAAAGUCACGGCUAACUACGUGCCAGCAGCCGCGGUAAUACGUAGGUGGCAAGCGUUGUCCGGAUUUAUUGGGCGUAAAGCGAGUGCAGGCGGUUCAAUAAGUCUGAUGUGAAAGCCUUCGGCUCAACCGGAGAAUUGCAUCAGAAACUGUUGAACUUGAGUGCAGAAGAGGAGAGUGGAACUCCAUGUGUAGCGGUGGAAUGCGUAGAUAUAUGGAAGAACACCAGUGGCGAAGGCGGCUCUCUGGUCUGCAACUGACGCUGAGGCUCGAAAGCAUGGGUAGCGAACAGGAUUAGAUACCCUGGUAGUCCAUGCCGUAAACGAUGAGUACUGAGUGUUGGGAGGUUUCCGCCUCUCAGUGCUGCAG